AACGUAGGUGGCAAGCGUUGUCCGGAUUUACUGGGCGUAAAGAGCGCGCAGGCGGUCGGAUUAGUCGCGUGUGAAAGCCCCCGGCUCAACUGGGGAGGGUCACGCGAUACUGUUCGACUCGAAGGCAGGAGAGGGAAGUGGAAUUCCCGGUGUAGUGGUGAAAUGCGUAGAUAUCGGGAGGAACACCAGUGGCGAAGGCGACUUCCUGGCCUGUUCUUGACGCUGAGGCGCGAAAGCUAGGGUAGCAAACGGG
rnacentral:rRNA from 1 species